rnacentral:misc_RNA from 1 species
UUUCCGUAGGUGAACCUGCGGAAGGAUCAUUAUCGAAUUUCGAGGGGAAGGAAGCUGAGGAGUGGAGACUGUCGCUGGCUUUCCCGCCUGGGAAGCAUGUGCACGCCCUGCUUUUCGUUGACCUUUAUCUUACUCUCACACCUGUGCACCCACUGUAGGUCCUCGAAAGAGGAUCUAUGUUUUUAUCAUCACACGCAUCGUAUGUCCAUAGAAUGUAACAUGAUCGUCGAUCGACCUCGCGGUCGGGUGGCGGUCUAAAGAAAUAAAUACAACUUUCAGCAACGGAUCUCUUGGCUCUC